rnacentral:tRNA from 1 species
AGCUCAGUGGCAGAGUGUGUGCUUAGCAUGCAUGAGGUCCUGGGUUCAAUCCCCAG